GAUGAACGCUGGCGGCGUGCCUAAUACAUGCAAGUCGAGCGAACAGACGAGGAUCUUGCUCCUCUGACGUUAGCGGCGGACGGGUGAGUAACACGUGGAUAACCUACCUAUAAGACUGGGAUAACUUCGGGAAACCGGAGCUAAUACCGGAUAAUAUAUUGAACCGCAUGGUUCAAUAGUGAAAGACGGUUUUGCUGUCACUUAUAGAUGGAUCCGCGCCGCAUUAGCUAGUUGGUAAGGUAACGGCUUACCAAGGCAACGAUGCGUAGCCGACCUGAGAGGGUGAUCGGCAACACUGGAACUGAGACACGGUCCAGACUCCUACGGGAGGCAGCAGUAGGGAAUCUGCCGCAAUGGGCGAAAGCCUGACGGAGCAACGCCGCGUGAGUGAUGAAGGUCUUCGGAUCGUAAAACUCUGUUAUUAGGGAAGAACAAAUGUGUAAGUAACUAUGCACGUAUUGACGGUACCUAAUCAGAAAGCCACGGCUAACUACGUG
rnacentral:rRNA from 1 species